GCGGGUGUGGUGUAAUUGGCUAACACGCCACCUUGCCAAGGUGGAAAGUACGGGUUCGAGCCCCGUCACCCGCA
rnacentral:tRNA from 2 species